AUUGGAUUCUUAGUAAACAAGAUAGAGCUUAGAUGAGGCUAAUCAGAGCUUUUAGAAUUACCGGUUGAAUGUGUAACUCUGCCCUUGGGCCAUUUGGCCUUGGAGUGUGCGAAGGAACGCGGUGGAGCCUUGUUUAUUCCCGGUGCUUGAAGUAGAGACCAAGCUGGAAGCCUGAGGACCCCAUUUCUCGGAUUUCACCCUCAACUCCUCCAGCCCCGGUUCCUGUUACCAAGGCGAGCAGCCGCCCCUGGUCUCCAGCCACGCUCCCAGAGCAGCCAGGCCUCAUUUGCAUACAGACGGAGGCGGGGUACACGUUAUCCCCUACCGAGCCGCAGAACAGUGAGGCUCAGAGAGCAGGUGGGUAUUUUCUCUGUCUCACAGCCAGCAACGGUGUUAGAAUUCCAACUCACGAAGUUUCACUCUGAAGACCACUGCAGUAGGAGGAGGCUUUUAUGAGACAGUGUGUCCAAAAUGUUGAUUAUAAGUUGCUCAUUGUUCUGCAACCUUAUUUCAUUGAGUUUUUGAACAAGGACUAAUUCCUGAGAGAAGGAGAAACCUUCCUCCCAGAAGCCAGGUUUGGAAGAGGUGGAGGCCCAGCCCAUCUCUGCUGGAUGGUGGUGAUAAUGGUGGCCAUUCCAAUGUCAUGAGAAAGACUCAGCCUGCUGGGCUCAGCCCUAAUGCAGUUUGGGGUGGACAGAAUCAACCCCUGAUAGCUGCAGGCAGCACCUGAAAAGUUCCGGCGUGGUUGUCAUCUGUGGUUUGGAUGCUAAGUGUGCAUGUCAUAACCACACUGGGAGUUAGAGCCCUCUCCUCCAUCACAUGACAUCUUGGUGUUCUUAGCUCCUUUGACUUAAGAGUAGGCAAGUGACCCCAAUACAAUGAAUCCUGGGAUUCUCUGUUAUACAGGGAGAGGGGGAAAUGGCUUGAGGAUAUUUAUUCCAGGGGCAGAAUCCCAAGAAAGCUGUCAAUUAAUUUCUCCUGCCCAGACCCCAGAACACUCUGGUUCUUGACCCUGCUCUCCUACAGUCCACUGGAUUCUGAAAGCCUCCUGGCGCCCCUCCAAUCAAACCCUUUCCCAUCUAAGAUAGCUAGAAUCAGUUUCUGUUGCUUGCAACCAGAGAACAAUUGAUGGUCUCCACUUCUCUUCUAUUUCCCUUCAUUUUCUCCCUCUUCUAGUCCCCUCUUAGGGGGAGCAAAAGAUUAGAAAGGAAAACGUCCUGAAAUCAAAGCCAAC
rnacentral:lncRNA from 1 species